AGAUUGAACGCUGGCGGCAUGCCUUACACAUGCAAGUCGAACGGCAGCACGGGGGGCAACCCUGGUGGCGAGUGGCGAACGGGUGAGUAAUACAUCGGAACGUGUCCUGUAGUGGGGGAUAGCCCGGCGAAAGCCGGAUUAAUACCGCAUACGAUCUACGGAAGAAAGCGGGGGAUCCUUCGGGACCUCGCGCUAUAGGGGCGGCCGAUGGCAGAUUAGCUAGUUGGUGGGGUAAAGGCCUACCAAGGCGACGAUCUGUAGCUGGUCUGAGAGGACGACCAGCCACACUGGGACUGAGACACGGCCCAGACUCCUACGGGAGGCAGCAGUGGGGAAUUUUGGACAAUGGGGGAAACCCUGAUCCAGCAAUGCCGCGUGAGUGAUGAAGACCUUAGGGUUGUAAAGCUCUUUCGCGCGCGACGAUGAUGACGGUAGCGCGAGAAGAAGCCCGGCUAACUUCGUGCCAGCAGCCGC
rnacentral:rRNA from 1 species